rnacentral:lncRNA from 1 species
UGGGUACUGCUUUCUUCCCUGAAAUUUUCUUUUCGCCACCCCCAUCCGACGGAAUCAUCACGCACGGUAUACCUCGACUACCACACCCUCGUGCCUGGUGCUACAACCAAAGCCAUGGCCGUCGUUUUGGAGGGAUCAUGCAGAGGAAACCAAUUUACGGCCGCUUCCUUGGCCGUCGUUUUCAGUGGGGAGGUUCCUGGUGUUUUUUAUGGUCCAGCCUAUCUGUCUCUGUGGACAACCACAGUUUUGGCGGCCACUGGGAGGUAUUGCAUAUUGUUCUGAUCAGGUAACAUAUACGUGUGCUGAGUAUGCAAAGAAGAGUUCUGAAACAAUACAUACAGAGCAAGUAAAUUACAGGGGCGUGCAGUUUUAUUCAUGUGGUAUGGUGUCGCAACUGGAAGUUGCUGAAUACUUUGAUUAUUGGGCUACUUCCUAUGACUAUUAUUUGGAGGAGUUUACAUUGCAGAGGAAGCUGGAGAACAGUGGUUCACAUAAUUCAGUUGCAACCUCCAAGGCAGGUGCACGUUGUACAAUUGUUG